rnacentral:rRNA from 1 species
CAGGACGAACGCUGGCGGCGUGCUUAACACGAUGCAAGUCGAACGGAAAGGCCCUGCUUUGUGGGGUGCUCGAGUGGCGGACGGGUGAGUAACACGUGAGUAACCUGCCCUUGACUUUGGGAUAGCUUCAGGAAACUGGGGCUAAUACCGGAUAGGAGCUCCUGCUGCAUGGUGGGGGUUGGAAAGUUUCGGCGGUUGGGGAUGGACUCGCGGCUUAUCAGCUUGUUGGUGGGGUAGUGGCUUACCAAGGCUUUGACGGGUAGCCGGCCUGAGAGGGUGACCGGCCACAUUGGGACUGAGAUACGGCCCAGACUCCUACGGGAGGCAGCAGUGGGGAAUAUUGCACAAUGGGCGGAAGCCUGAUGCAGCCAACGCCGCGUGCGGGAUGACGGCCUUCGGGUUGUAAACCGCUUUCGCCUGUGACGAAGCGUGAGUGACGGUAAUGGGUAAAGAAGCACUGGCUAACUACGUGCCAGCCGCUGC